rnacentral:lncRNA from 10 species
GGCAUAGGCUAUGUGUUGCCAUUUUUCAGUUUCCUGACUCUCAGCUCCAAAUUCAUCCUUCAUUACCUGAUCUGUGAAGAUGCAGAUUCCACUAGUGACAAGAGAGUUUGUUAUCUCCUUCACCACAACCCCAGAGUAACAAAGGACAAAGAAAAGACAAACCAGGAAAUGGAGUGAAAGACUCUGGCUAAGGCGGUGUGCCACUGGGCUGCCUCUCGGGUAUCUGCGGCUCACUCUGGAUCACAUUGAGGGUGCUGGUUGUGUGCGCCCUAUUCAUCUUAACAGCCUCGGCAUUUAAUACAGUGCUUGCGUGUAUUUGCAAUAUGUAAUUUUUAAAUAAAAAAAUAUGCAAAUAUGUCUUCAGCAGCAUAG